rnacentral:rRNA from 1 species
CAGGCCUAACACAUGCAAGUCGAACGAAGGCUUCGGCCUUAGUGGCGCACGGGUGCGUAACGCGUGGGAAUCUGCCCUGGGGUACGGAAUAACUCAGAGAAAUUUGAGCUAAUACCGUAUGAUGACGUAAGUCCAAAGAUUUAUCGCCCUGGGAUGAGCCCGCGUAGGAUUAGCUAGUUGGUGGGGUAAAGGCCUACCAAGGCGACGAUCCUUAGCUGGUCUGAGAGGAUGAUCAGCCACACUGGGACUGAGACACGGCCCAGACUCCUACGGGAGGCAGCAGUGGGGAAUAUUGGACAAUGGGCGAAAGCCUGAUCCAGCAAUGCCGCGUGAGUGAUGAAGGCCUUAGGGUUGUAAAGCUCUUUUACCCGGGAAGAUAAUGACUGUACCGGGAGAAUAAGCUCCGGCUAACUCCGUGCCAGCAGCCGCGGUAAU